GACGAACGCUGGCGGCGUGCUUAACACAUGCAAGUCGAACGGAAAGGCCCUGCUUUUGUGGGGUGCUCGAGUGGCGAACGGGUGAGUAACACGUGAGUAACCUGCCCUUGACUUUGGGAUAACUUCAGGAAACUGGGGCUAAUACCGGAUAGGAGCUCCUGCUGCAUGGUGGGGGUUGGAAAGUUUCGGCGGUUGGGGAUGGACUCGCGGCUUAUCAGCUUGUUGGUGGGGUAGUGGCUUACCAAGGCUUGGACGGGUAGCCGGCCUGAGAGGGUGACCGGCCACAUUGGGACUGAGAUACGGCGCAGACGCCUACGGGAGGCAGCAGUGGGGAAUAUUGCACAAUGGGCGGAAGCCUGAUGCAGAAACGCCGCGUGCGGGAUGACGGCCUUCGGGUUGUAAACCGCUUUCGCCUGUGACGAAGCGUGAGUGACGGUAAUGGGUAAAGAAGCACCGGCUAACUACGUG
rnacentral:rRNA from 1 species